GACGAACCGUGCGAACGUUAUUCGGAAUCACUGGGCUUAAAGCGCGUGUAGGCGGGACGGCACGUCUGUCGCUGAAAUCCCCCGGCUUAACCGGGGAACGGGCGCGGAUACGACCGUCCUGGAGGGGCGUAGGGGGACCUGGAACUUCCGGUGGAGCGGUGAAAUGCGUUGAGAUCGGAAGGAACGCCCGUGGCGAAAGCGAGGUCCUGGACGCCUACUGACGCUGAGACGCGAAAGCCAGGGGAGCGAACGGG
rnacentral:rRNA from 1 species